rnacentral:rRNA from 1 species
GACGAACGCUGGCGGCGUGCUUAACACAUGCAAGUCGAACGAGAGCGUAGAGAAAGCUUGCUUUUUCUACAAUCUAGUGGCAAACGGGUGAGUAACGCGUAAACAACCUGCCCUACGGAUGGGGACAACACCUGGAAACGGCUGCUAAUACCGAAUACGUUCCGAAAGUCGCAUGACUAUCGGAAGAAAGGAUGGCCUCUAUUUAUAAGCUAUCGCCGGAGGAGGGGUUUGCGUCUGAUUAGCUAGUUGGAGGGGUAACGGCCCACCAAGGCGACGAUCAGUAGCCGGUCUGAGAGGAUGAACAGCCACAUUGGAACUGAGACACGGUCCAGACUCCUACGGGAGGCAGCAGUGGGGAAUCUUCCGCAAUGGGCGAAAGCCUGACGGAGCAACGCCGCGUGAGUGAAGACGGCCUUCGGGUUGUAAAGCUCUGUUAUACGGGACGAAUAAUCUUGUGGUUAAUACCCAUGAGAAGUGACGGUACCGUAAGAGAAAGCCACGGCUAACUACGUG